rnacentral:rRNA from 1 species
UACAGAGGUCCCAAGCGUUGUUCGGAUUCACUGGGCGUAAAGGGUGCGUAGGUGGUCGGGUAAGUUUAAGGUGAAAGCUCCGGGCUCAACCCGGAAAUGGCCUUGAAUACUAUCCGGCUCGAGGGUUGGAGGGGGGACUGGGAAUUCUCGGUGUAGCAGUGAAAUGCGUAGAUAUCGAGAGGAACACCAGUGGCGAAGGCGAGUCCCUGGACAACACCUGACACUGAGGCACGAAAGCCAGGGGAGCAAAACGGGG